rnacentral:ribozyme from 1 species
ACUUUGUAAAUUUACAUCCUUUGAAAAAAAAAAAAAAAAAAAAAAAA